GUGUCAGCAGCCGCGGUAAUACGUAGGGUGCGAGCGUUAAUCGGAAUUACUGGGCGUAAAGCGAGCGCAGGCGGUUCUGUAAGUCAGAUGUGAAAUCCCCGGGCUCAACCUGGGAACUGCGUUUGAAACUACAGGGCUAGAGUAUGGGAGAGGGGGGUAGAAUUCCACGUGUAGCAGUGAAAUGCGUAGAGAUGUGGAGGAAUACCAAUGGCGAAGGCAGCCCCCUGGCCUAAUACUGACGCUCAUGCUCGAAAGCGUGGGGAGCAAACAGGAUUAGAUACCCUGGUAGUCC
rnacentral:rRNA from 1 species